GAGUUUGAUCAUGGCUCAGAAUCAACGCUGGCGGCGUGCCUAACACAUGCAAGUCGAACGAGAAAGUGGAGCAAUCCAUGAGUAAAGUGGCGCACGGGUGAGUAACACGUGACUAACCUACCCUGGAGUGGGGGAUAACUGAGGGAAACCUUAGCUAAUACCGCAUAAUACCUACGGGUCAAAGGAGCAAUUCGCUUUGGGAGGGGGUCGCGGCCGAUUAGUUAGUUGGCGGGGUAAUGGCCCACCAAGACAGUGAUCGGUAUCCGGCCUGAGAGGGCGCACGGACACACUGGAACUGAAACACGGUCCAGACUCCUACGGGAGGCAGCAGUGGGGAAUUUUGCGCAGUGGGGGAAACCCUGACGCAGCAACGCCGCGUGGAGGAUGAAGUCCUUCGGGACGUAAACUCCUUUCGAUCGGGACGAUAAUGACGGUACCGGAAGAAGAAGCCCCGGCUAACUUCGUGCCAGCAGCCGCGGUAAUACG
rnacentral:rRNA from 1 species